rnacentral:rRNA from 1 species
AUUGAACGCUGGCGGCAGGCCUAACACAUGCAAGUCGAACGAGUGGCGGACUGGUGAGUAAUGUCUGGGAACCUGCCCGAUGUCAGGGGAUAACUACUGGAAACAGUAGCUAAUACCGCAUACCAUCGGAUGUGCCCAGAUGGGAUUAGCUAGUAGGUGGGGUAACGGCUACCCUAGGAGACGAUCCCUAGCUGGUCUGAGAGGAUGACCAGCCACACUGGAACUGAGAAACGGUCCAGACUCCUACGGGAGGCAGCAGGGGGGAAUAUUGCACAAUGGGCGCAAGCCUGAUGCAGCCAUGCCGCGGGUAUGAAGAAGGCCUUCGGGUUGUAAAGUACGUUCAGCGAGGAGGCGUUACUCGCAGAAGAAGCACCGGCUAACUCCGUGCCAGCAGCCGCGGUAAUAC